CGGCGGACGGGUGAGUAACACGUGGGUAACUACCUAUAAGACUGGGACAACUUCGGGAAACCGGAGCUAAUACCGGAUAAGAUAUCGAACCGCAUGGUUCGAUAGUGAAAGAUGGUUUUGCUAUCACUUAUAGAUGGACCCGCGCCGUAUUAGCUAGUUGGUGAGGUAACGGCUCACCAAGGCAACGAUACGUAGCCGACCUGAGAGGGUGAUCGGCCACACUGGAACUGAGACACGGUCCAGACUCCUACGGGAGGCAGCAGCC
rnacentral:rRNA from 1 species